UUCUGAGGAGUUCAAGCUCUGGAAUCAUAUUACCUACUCAAAGGUGAGUGUGAGGAGGCAGUAAUCACCCCAGAUGCAGGUGUUAAAGGGUAUAAGAAUUUUCUCUGGUUUAUCAUGCCUGCUAUUUAAGGCUGCCAAAAAUUCCUUUGUUCAAGGUACAGAGAGCCCUUGCUGCUGUUCCCACUUAUAGUUUUCCUGCAGAUGCUGGUAUAAAGAUGUUCAACUUCAAAUGUACCUGUCUAGGAGCAACUAAUUAACUGAUAAAAAGAAUUAAAAUUCAGGUAUGAAAAAUAUAAAACAUAAAAAAAUAUAAAGCCUAAUAAUUACUGAAGGAAGAACUGGAGGGAGUUAACAGGAAUAUGUCUCAUUAACGCUUUUGUCACACACAGUGUUUUGGUAUGUGUAUCCUAAAAGAGCAAAGUUUUUUCUGUGAUUGAAAUUGAUGCAUGUAGAAAACAAAGGAUAAAGUGCAUAAAACUACUUUAUUAAUAUGUAAAAUUAUAUAUAAAAUUAUAUAAAAGCACCCACUACACUCUCUGAGUGGUUGGCAUUAGGAAGGGCAUCCAGCUGUAGAAACUCUGCCAAAUUAGAUUGGAGCCUGGUGUUGCCAUCCGGUUUCACCAGUCCUCAGUCAAAUCGUCCAACCCAUGCUAGCAUGGAAAGCGGACGUUAAACGAUGAUGAUGAUGAUGAUGAUGAUAUAUAUUAUAUAGUUUUAUAUCAUAUCUAUUGCAAGAUGAUCUCUGAUUGGCUAUUACACUUCAAAAUGUUUGUUUCAUCAGGCUAAUGGAUUGGCUUCAAAGUCCUUUCAGCUUGUAUCAUUUGGGCCAAUCAAUCAGCCCGGGUGUUGCAAGAGAAUUAAUUAGCAUUAAUUAGUUGUUGUUUAACUCCUGAUCAAAUUGUGACUAUCCUGUCUUUUUGUGACUAUCAAAGAUUUACAUAAUUAGUCAAUCAAUUUUUGUUUAAAAUGAUAAGGUGUGACCUGAAAAUUCUAGUUCAAGUGAAUAUAAAAAUGCUCUGUCAUUGGCUUGCAUUCAUUACUUCUUUAUGACCUUUGUUGCUGGCUAAUUCAGUAUAAAGCAAAACCUGAACAAUUCGUUACAUGAUCAAGAAUGUAGUUUGGUGUUAGUUUGGCAAGGGAUGGAAGGAUCUUUUUAAUGUUGUACUAUGACUGCCAGCCACACAGUACAAAGAAAGACUGAGUUAGGAAUUUUAAAAAAUUUUAAGUUAAAUAAAAGAAAUUAUCCAAUUACUUUUUUUAUUGAUAUAAAAUUAUGCCUACCUACCUACCUACAUUAUUCAUACAUACAUCUCUCUCUCUCUCUCCCUUUCUCUCCAUCCAUCCAUCAGACCCUCCAACCAUCUGUCUGUCCAGCCAUCCAUUGUCAUUGCUGUUGUCAUUGUUGUUGUCAUCGUCAUCAUCAUCAUCAUCAUCAUCAUCUAAUAUCAAAAAGUCAAUGCUACUGUCUGCACAGAGAUGUUGGAGAAGUUGUGAGGCCUUGGAUAGACAGAAUGUGCCAACGGAAGACAGCAUAUCUUCCAACAAGGUCUCAUUAGGCUAGGACAAUCCAAGCAUGGAUGUGUGCCAAUCUCCAUGAUCUUGUUCCCUCAGAUGCAUGGACUCCUAGAUCAUCCAACUGCAGUCCACUGAAUUAUUAUGUAAGGGACAUAGUCAAAUGAAAGGUCAAUCACCACCCCCACUCAAUCUCCCAAGUUAGCCACAACUAGAACUAUAUCAAAAAUUGAUCUGAUUUGGGCAUGUCACUGCUUCUGACCCUGUACUGAAGCAGUCAUUGAUGCUAACAGUAGAUUCAUUGAAUAGGUGUGAUAAAAAGGAUUCUCUAGAUUAUUUGUACUAAUUUGUUUUCAAAUACACCUUUUCUUUGAUGAGCUAUGCAUCUUUUUUCUAAAUUCAUACAAAUGACCUCAAAAACUGGAUGUACCCUGUAUGUGUCAGUGUAUGUGUGUGUGUGUGUGUGUGUGUGUGUGCAUAUGUGUCAUAUCAACACAAAUGUGCUUCUCUGACUUUGUUUCCUUAUAACUUUCAGAAAACUUGACCAUUGGUAUUGGUUUGAUUACAUUCCUGUUACUUAGCGGUUCGGCAAAAGACACAAAUACCAGACUUCAUCAUCAUCAUCAUCAUCAUCGUUUAACGUCCGCUUUCCAUGCUAGCAUGGGUUGGACGAUUUGACUGAGGACUGGUGAACCAGAUGGCUACACCAGGCUCCAAUCUGAUUUGGCAGAGUUUCUACAGCUGGAUGCACUUCCUAACGCCAACCACUCCAAGAGUGUAGUGGGUGCUUUUACGUGCCACCGGCACGAAGGCCAGUCAGGCGGUACUGGCAACGGCCACGCUCGAAAUGGUGUAUUUUACGUGCCACCUGCACAGGAGCCAGUCCAGCGGCACUGGCAACGAUCUCGCUCAAAUGUCUUUACACGUGCCAGGAAGGCGACGCUGGGCACAGGUGCCAUCACGAUUUCGUUUUCGCUUGCCCCAACAGGUCUUCGCAAGCCAGGUUUUGUGUCCAAUGAAGGAGACGACGUUGAAGGAAGGACUUAUUUUGAAAAUUAUGUACUGGGAUUGAUUUGCUCCAUUAAAACUCUUCCCAGCAGUGUUCCAGUAUGGUUGCAGUCUGAUAACUGAAACCAUUUAAAUAUAGAUCUGGCUGUGUGGUAAGAAGUUUGCUUCCCAACCUCAUAACUUUCUCCAACAACUCUGUGCACACAGAGGCAUUGAUUCUUAAGCCCUAUGAAAAAAAGUGACGAGGCAUAACGUCUCCCUCGUUGCUGAUGACUCCCAUUGCAGUGCAUCUUGGGCAAAUGUCUUCUACUAUAGUCUCGGGCCGACCAAAGUCUUGUGAGUGGAUUUGGUAGAUGGAAACUGAAAGAAGCCCGUGAUAUAUAUAUAUAUGUAUAUAUACAUACACACACACACACACACACAUAUAUAUAUAAUACAAAUGAUAUAUGAGCAUAUGCAUGUAUACAUACAUAUAUGUACAUACCUACAUCUACAUGUAUAUAUAUAGAUGCAUAUCAGGGUACAGGACGUCAGAAAAGGAACGGGAACAUAAAGCACAAAAACGGACUUUUUUUUACAGACAACAGAAUGAACACAUAGGAAAACGGACGAGCCACUUAUGGAACUAUUCCUUUAUCAGCUGCCUCUAUUCUAAACUAGGCGUUUAUAUGUGUGUGUGUGUGCAGGCGUGUUUGUGUGUAUGUAUAUAUGUGUGUGUGUGUGUGCUUUUGCGUCUGUGCUUGUCCCCCAUCACAGCUUGACAUCUAGUUUUCGUGUGCUUACGUUCCUGUAUCUGAACGGAUCGGCAAAAGAGAACGAUCGAAUAGAUACCAGGCUUGAAAAACAAGUAAGUACUGGGGUCGAUUCGUUCGACUAAGAUUCUUCGAGGCUGUGCUAGGGCAUUGCCACAGUCAAACGACUGAAAUAAGUAAAAGGAGAAAACAAAAAAAAAACUCAUGUCUCCUCCUCCUACUUCGCCUUUGCAAGCAAAUCAAGCGAGACGCUGCACGAAGAUAAAAACAAAAUUCUGUCUCUGAACGCCCCGAAGGCUGAAACUAGUUUUUAGUUGUGUAACACCAAAUUCAAGUAUAACAUUUAAUCAUUAACCAAAUAUCGUAAGAUCAGCGAAGUGUCGUUUGAUUUACCUCCAGUAAAAAUGUCAGAAAAUAGAAGCUCAAGCUCAACAAUUGACGACACAGAAAAAUCUUCUGUGUCACAGAAACACCUUCGUGUGGAAAUUGAAUACUGCCAAUCCUGAGGGGGUUGGAAACGGAUGGAAUCACUUCGUAAAGCCAUUUACAGAGAGUUUCCUGAAGCCAGAGUAAUGGAUACUGUUAGCAAGAAACGGGGUGCCUUUGAAGUUAGUAUCAAUGGAAAUUUGUUUUUCUCUCAUCUUGAGUCUUGUUGUUACCCCGACUCUGAUAAGGUCAGUAUUUCUCAUUUCAUUUUGAUUUUUAUUAUUUCU